rnacentral:rRNA from 1 species
AGCGAACGCUGGCGGCAGGCUUAACACAUGCAAGUCGAGCGGGCACUUCGGUGUCAGCGGCAGACGGGUGAGUAACACGUGGGAACGUACCCUUCGGUUCGGAAUAACGCUGGGAAACUAGCGCUAAUACCGGAUACGCCCUUUUGGGGAAAGGUUUACUGCCCAAGGAUCGGCCCGCGUCUGAUUAGCUAGUUGGUGGGGUAAUGGCCUACCAAGGCGACGAUCAGUAGCUGGUCUGAGAGGAUGAUCAGCCACACUGGGACUGAGACACGGCCCAGACUCCUACGGGAGGCAGCAGUGGGGAAUAUUGGACAAUGGGCGCAAGCCUGAUCCAGCCAUGCCGCGUGAGUGAUGAAGGCCUUAGGGUUGUAAAGCUCUUUUGUCCGGGACGAUAAUGACGGUACCGGAAGAAUAAGCCCCGGCUAACUUCGUG